AGCUACUGAAUCAAUUAUAAAAUUGAUAACAUAAGGGAAAAUAAUGAUAUUACCUUAUUAUUAGUGUCGUCCAAAACUGGUGCCAGAAGACUCGGUAAGGCCAGAGACAUAAACGUUAAUCGUCUUAAUCAGGCGUAAAGGGUUUGUAGGCGGCUUUUAAUUUUACUUAUUUAUUCUCUUUUUGUUAUUUUUUAAUUAAAAUUUAUAAGUAAAGAAUAAAAGCUAGAAUCAAAUAUAGGAUAUAUUAAAUAAUGCUUAGAGUAGGUCUGAUAUCCAUAGAUACUAAGUAGAAUAUUAAAGGCGAAGGCUUUUUUCCAUUAAUGAUUGACGCUCAGAAACGAAGGUGAGGAUAGGAAAUAGGAUUAGAUACCCAAAAUACCCCUCUCUGUCAACGAUGAAUGGUAGUUAUUAGUAAUAAAUUAAUUAAUGACAAUGUUAACACGAUAACCAUUCCGCCUUGUGAGUACAACUGCAAAGUUGAAAACAAAAAAAUUAGUCGGUUUCGGAGCAAACGAAGUGAAGCAUGUUAUUUAAUCGA
rnacentral:rRNA from 1 species